AUGCCUCCAACUCCAUUCAAGUUGUAGCAUGAGGCUUUUGAUUUCCUGCCCAUUCUGAAAUUCAGACUUUUGAGGACUGUAUAUUAAAUUGAUUUUUGAAACAAGGGGAUGGAAUAGGAGCUUGCUCUGACCACCCCAUGCAUUGACCUGGUAUUGCAGUGUUUCCAGGACCAGUAAAAAAAAA